rnacentral:rRNA from 1 species
UACAGGGGGGGCAAGCGUUGUUCGGAAUUACUGGGCGUAAAGAGCUCGUAGGCGGUUUGUCGCGUCUGCCGUGAAAGUCCGGGGCUCAACUCCGGAUCUGCGGUGGGUACGGGCAGACUAGAGUGAUGUAGGGGAGACUGGAAUUCCUGGUGUAGCGGUGAAAUGCGCAGAUAUCAGGAGGAACACCGAUGGCGAAGGCAGGUCUCUGGGCAUUAACUGACGCUGAGGAGCGAAAGCAUGGGGAGCGAACAGG